UUUAUGUANUCAUUCUUUNGUGUUGAAUGUANGCCAUGCAUUGUUGACUACUUGUUGCAAAAAAUAUUGCCAUUGCAAUGGUGUAAAAAUGUUAGGUNCCGAAGAAGGUAGCAAUAUCAUGCCAAUCGUGUGUACGGUAAGUAUGAUAAGGUAGGUUCGUAUGUGAUGUAUUCUGAUCAUUUUGUUAUAUAAUUUGUAAUUAUAUAUCAUAAUUACAUUUGUGUUUUGAAUUUAAUGUACUGAAUUUGUUUGUUGAUAUACACGGAGCUAUUUAAGAAAANGUUUAAUACUGCAUAGUUCAUUGCCAGACCGCAAUGCNUUGUUACCAUUAAAUUCNAAUUUAGCGGCUUUGAAAAUGACAAGUCUAAACUUAUUGAAAUUAAUGUCGACUGUACAGAGCUGGUACGGUCACUCUCAACCCAGGAAAACGUAUUUUGAACGCCGAUAGAAAAGGACCAGCAAUGCGUUUCUGUCUUGGUAUAAACUAUCUUCAAAUAAACUAUCUUCGUUCAGUAUUCAGCGUUUUCUGAAAUAGUUGUAUCAACUUAUUUUUAUCAUAUCUUUUGUUAUUGGUUAUUUGAUAUACUGAAUUUGUAUUUAUGUAUACUGUAGUAAUUGUNAUGUUAUCAUGUAUUCAGAAUUCCUUUGCAUUUUUCCAUUAAAUAAUUAAUUCAUUCGUCCAUACAUUAUAUAUUUCACAAAGCUACAUCUGCUUGCUUGUCCAUUCAUACUUUAUAGAAAUUGUAUAGAUAUAUAACUUACAACUAAAGUGCAAUUACUAUGUUUUUGAUAUCCUUUAGCUAGCCUGCCUUCGUACGCUUAUACGCCUACAUGUUUCAAUAUUGAUUUAUAGGGAAUAGAAAGUGCUACAGUUGAGUAUCUGGGAGUAAAGUCCCUGUCGCGCUCAUUAUCAGCAGCUGAGAAAUUCAUUCUAUCGACCAUGUGUAUAAAUACCUGGUUCAUCGUUUCUACACUAUUUUAGUAGGUUGGGUAACCCACCCCAAUAUCGUCAAUACUAGCUUUUCUUCGCAGUUGUAAGGGCGAUGGUUAGCCGUAUAUAGUAGUCCCUUCCCAGGCUACGCACAAGGAUAGCUCAGCAGGUAGAGCAUCGGACUUUAGUGCGGGAGGUCGCAGGUUCAAACCCAGGCCGGACCAACACUCAGGGUCUUAAAAUAAUUGAAAUAAAUUGCUGCCUUUGUCUUUCUCCAUCUGCAAAUGGCUGUGAAGGUGACUGACCGUAUGAAUAGCUUGUUAAAGUGCAGGGNAUUCACGUUGUAUUUGGUGCUACCAUANAUUUAUGUAGUUCGUACUCAAGGGAUUCCUGACAAUGAAAAACCUCAAUGAUGGAUUGUCUGAGUUUAAAUUNAAUGUUAUUUUUUUNAAAGGAAUCUACAAUUGUCAAGCAGCUAUUGUGCAUUGCGCAUGUGUUCGCCGAGAGGUCUAAUUGUUUUAGUAUAAACAUACUAAUCGGUCAAAUAACGAAAACAAAUUGAAAUAUCCUUAAAAUAGUUUAUAAUUUAUAAUUUAUUUAUUUUGAUUUUCCCGCUAGUGGUCUAUCACAAA
rnacentral:lncRNA from 1 species